UUCCCAAGGCAUGGAGCCACCCACUCGAUCCACCUCUUUGUUGUUCUGAUGUUCUUCAGUAGAGCGACUCUUGGGCAUGUGGGCAUCGACAUGACGGACCUUUACAGCCAGGUUUUCUACCCGGGCAGCAAUAUAUUGCCACAGGGUAGCAGCCCA